rnacentral:rRNA from 1 species
GGGAGCGUGCCUUUAGGUUCGGAAUAACUCAGGGAAACUUGUGCUAAUACCGAAUGUGCCCUUCGGGGGAAAGAUUUAUCGCCUUUAGAGCGGCCCGCGUCUGAUUAGCUAGUUGGUGAGGUAAAGGCUCACCAAGGCGACGAUCAGUAGCUGGUCUGAGAGGAUGAUCAGCCACAUUGGGACUGAGACACGGCCCAAACUCCUACGGGAGGCAGCAGUGGGGAAUCUUGCGCAAUGGGCGAAAGCCUGACGCAGCCAUGCCGCGUGAAUGAUGAAGGUCUUAGGAUUGUAAAAUUCUUUCACCGGGGACGAUAAUGACGGUACCCGGAGAAGAAGCCCCGGCUAACUUCGUGCCAGCAGCCGCGGUAAUACGAAGGGGGCUAGCGUUGCUCGGAAUUACUGGGCGUAAAGGGAGCGUAGGCGGACAUUUAAGUCAGGGGUGAAAUCCCGGGGCUCAACCUCGGAAUUGCCUUUGAUACUGGGUGUCUUGAGUAUGAGAGAGGUGUGUGGAACUCCGAGUGUAGAGGUGAAAUUCGUAGAUAUUCGGAAGAACACCAGUGGCGAAGGCGACACACUGGCUCAUUACUGACGCUGAGGCUCGAAAGCGUGGGGAGCAAACAGGAUUAGAUACCCUGGUAGUC